UGUCAUUGGGGGGCGGAACCUACAGUGCUUCACUGUAGACUCGAGGAAGCUUGUCCUAAACUCCGCCCUCCCUGUGACUGGAGUUUAGUGUAGUGCGGGGAGGGGGGGGGGCAGUAAACAACUGAAAGCAUGGCUCCAUUCCUCUUCUACACUGCUGCCUGGCCUGGAUUUCGUGCAUCUGAUGAACUGCUGAUGAACGCUUGGAGAUAUGCACUGGAUAAAUAUGGUAAAGAAGCUUACCACACAUAACUACUUUUUUUGGCAGUGUUAGAUUCAUCCUCAUAAAGAGUAGGGCAUGCAGCACCUAGAUUGGUUUCUAGGCCUUGUCUCACAACAGCUCCAUCUUGGAACCCCAACGAGCAGCAAUGGAGACAUAUGGAGACAUCCCUCCAGUAAUGAAAUCCAUAGAGAAGAUUACUGUGGUAGAUUGCUGUGACUAUUUUCCGUAUUGCUUGGACUGGGUGACGGUGUUUGAUGAAGCCUACUUGGUGUUCGGUGUGUCUAAUAUCUCCCGAUCUUGGACCGUCAAUUUAUGAAGUUCAGCUUCCCUCAGAAAUUGUAGACCGUCUUGCGGGUCAUCGGAUGAUGGUUCAUAAAAUUUUUUGAAAUGUUCAGUUAUUAUGUCUCUAAUUUGUUUUGUAUUUUGUGUCCAUCCUGUUGGCGUUUUAAUUUUUUGUAUAUAUGUGUUUCGUGUUUGUUUCUUUGCUAUUUGUGCUAGUAGUUUUCCUGAUUUGUUGCCAUAUCUGUAAAAUUUAUUGGCAGUGUGGCUAAUGGAUUUAUGUGCUUUUUCCGUCAAUAAAGUAUCAAAAAGUU